rnacentral:rRNA from 1 species
AUGCCAGAAUUUAAUUUUAUUACCAUCUCCGAUCUUCCAAGUAUAGAAAGUUUCUAUCUCUCAAGCCAAGCCUCGACUGUUUGCGAGCCUGAGCGUCGCGACCCGAGCCACGAGCCUGCUUGGCUCGAUUCCACCCCUCCUAUAAACAAGAAAGUGCCUCCUAUAAUCCCCCUUCCCCUCUUCCAACCUCAGUGUUCCCUCCAUUUCCCGCCGCGUUCUCCGGGCCCGAACCGCCACUUCCUCCUCGGCGACCACGGCCGCGGUGUCCGCCGCCGGGCGAUCCAGCGCCUUCCUCCCCGUGCGGACCCGCCCUGGAUGGCCGGGAGAGCCUCUUCCGUGGAGCGCGUGAAGGAGCGUGCCACCGGCCUCGACAAGUUCGUCCUCCGCGAGGCCCGCGGCAGCUCCGCCGAGGUAUACUUGUAUGGAGGCCAAGUAACCUCUUGGAAAAAUAACUCUGGAGAACAACAGUUAUUUCUCAGUAAGAAGGCUUCUUUCAAACCACCAAAAGCGAUUCGUGGGGGCAUACAAAUUUGUUUUCCUCAAUUAGGGAACCACGGAGUUGUUGAACAGCAUGGAUUCGCUAGGAACCGACUUUGGAGUGUUGAUGAGAGUCCUCCUCUUCCAGAUACCACUUCUGAUUGUCAUAUUGACUUGAUACUCAAGCAGUCUGAAGAAGAUAUGAAGACCUGGCCACACAGUUAUGAACUUCGUUUGCAAGUUGCUCUUAGCCCGAGGGGAGAUCUGAUCCUCACAUCUCGAAUAAAAAAUAAGAAUGCUGAUGGCAAGCCAUUCCAAUUUACUUUUGCAUACCACACAUACUUUUCAGUCUCUGAUAUCAGCGAAGUACGGGUUGAGGGUUUGGAUACCUUGGACUAUCAUGAUAAUCUGCAAUCUAAGAUUCGUUGUACUGAACAAGGCGAUGCAGUUGUAUUUGAAUCUGAAGUGGACAGGAUAUAUCUAAGUGCCCCACCCAAGAUUGUGACAAUUGACCAUGAGAAAAAAAGGACAUUCGUAUUAAGGAAAAAGGAACUUCCAGAUGUUGUUGUUUGGAACCCAUGGGACAGGAAAGCAAAAGCAAUGCCAGAUUUUGGUGCCGAGGAGUACAAGUGCAUGCUGUGUGUAGGGGCUGCACGUAUUGAGAAGCCAAUUACUUUAAGGCCUGGUGAAGAGUGGCAAGGAAGGCAGGAAAUUUCCCCUGUGCCAUCCAGUUACAGCAGUGGACUGUUGGAUCCUGAAAUGAUUCAACAGAUGCAACGUAUCUAG